CUCACUUGUUGACUAGACAUUAAUUUGAAAAGUGAAAAGUGUUAUUACGUGGUCGAUCUAAUUACGCGUUCUUUAAAGAAAAAUAUUUUAACAGAAACGUUAUAUCAAAUCUAUUAGAUAGUUCAACUAUGCGUAUAAAUACUGCCCGUUUAAGUGACCCCGAGUUUUGAUUAACGACGUCCCCACUACUUUUUAGAAUUGCACGUUCCAAGCAAACUUGGAACUGUAUAAGUACUGUACUGUAUAAUAUGAUGCAACCUUACAAUUAAAUUGUUGAGAUGCGUACCAUCGAAACAAUACCAAAAGCAAAGAUCAAUGUUAAUUGCGCGGUAAUUAAUUUCUAAUUCUUAAACAUUGUCGACUCUCUGAAUAUGGAUUCCAUAGGACAGAACGUAAAGCUCGAUGUUAUGAAGGUAGGAUGUUGUUAUGUCUCAUUCACGAUCACGUAUUCGCAGUAGAGUGAGCCAAAGUAAGAUAACACCGGGGAUUGUAAGCGAAUAAUGCUGUACACACAGCAUGUAGUACAUGCGUACGCAUAUAGCAUAUCGUACAAAUCUCGUAUUCAGACAUAAAGUAAUUAAGUAAGAUUUAUUAUAACUUUAUGUAAAAUAUCGGAUGUUUAUAAUUACAGUGGUACUCCAUUUACAUGAACGAUAUUGUAGAUUUUAAUUUACUAUAUUUUAGCUGAUUUCAUAUUAUCUAAAUUAUUGCCGAGCGUCAAUCCUCUUAUAUGAGCGUCUAACAUUGAAAUGUAAACAGUAGGAACACGUGUUACGUGAAAUACUCUCAUGAUUUACAAUUAAUACAAUUUUGAUUACAACAUUGUUAUGUAUUUAAGAGCAAAUGUUCGGUGGAAUUCUCUUAUACGAACGCGAAUUCCUAUUAACAGAACGAAAAAUCACAGAUGGUAGGGAGAAAUAGGUAGCACUCGUAUCAUAUCAACGGCUUGGUUAUAUGAAUCAACUUGUCCCCCGGCAAGUUCAAGUUUAUAUAUCGUUAUAUGAUUGACGCAUAGUAGAUCACGAUUUAAAUUGCAUACAUGGCAAAAAUGAAUACUCAUCGUUCCUGAUAUUUGAAGAUUUUAUGUAUGUACAGAUUCUCGUUUCGAACAAUUUGCAUUUUCAUCGAGAAAUUGCAGAGAGUCCAUUUAGAAAAUGUUCGAAGUCCAUUACGUCGAUGUUCAAAGUUCUUCCUUCACAGAAUUUCAGAGUUAAAGUCCACGUAUGAGAUUGUCAAUCGUCAUCGGUUGAAGCAAGGAAAGGCGCAAAUGCAAUAACACCGGUGAUGAUCUCACGUACUUAAGAUCAAAUUGUCUUAUGUGGAAUAGCUGCAAAAUUUCACGCGGUUAUGAAUAUUGAGUCAAUGAGUGUAUGAAGCAAACAUACAUCCUUUAUUAUUCGCUACAUCAUUGCGAUUUUGUCAUUGAACUUCCGAGAUCAAACCGAGGGCAUAGUUGAUUGAAUCAACUUGAAAUACGUUCGAGAGGAGUUUAAAGAGGCAGUCAAGUGAAUAGAAGUUGUUCGAGCAUUAUGAGGCCUAGUAACGGUAUGCGUUGAGAGAAAUACUUGGCUGCCCGAAGCAGAAGCGGAAUAAACACAUUAGAUGUACUUAUAUCAACGGUCAACCUUUGCCAACAACAAGCGAAUCUAAGAAAUGUUUCCAAACAGCUCAACAGGUUUGACACCGCUGAGACGCUGGCCUGACAAUUGGCACGUACUGUAUCCUUCAACCUCGUUAAAGAAUUGCUAAUUCGUACUUCGAAUUCAAUGACCUUGAACAUGUUUCGAAUAAAUCAUAAGCCAUUGGCAUAUUUCAUACAAAUAGAGCAUGCCAAAAUGAUAAAAAAAUAUGUGUAGAAUUAUGGAUAUUGUGAGAUCGAUGAGAAAACCUUGGCAUUGAGUGGUGAAAUUAUGGCGUGAAUGUAGAUAUAUUACAUUAAAUUUCGUCUACUAUCUCAUAAUUCCUAUACUGACUUAAAAUAUUUGAAUUAAUCUUAUAUACGUUAUUCUACCGAGAUAUACAAUGAGGCUGAAAUUUUUAAGAAAUUACUAUCACUAUUACUAAGAGAUUACUAUCACUAUUUUCACAAUAUCUUACGCUAUCUUGCAACCACUAUCUAUACUAUCUAAGCACUGUAAAAAGUGCAUUAUCUUCCCUUCGAAAA